rfam:Elusimicrobia bacterium RIFOXYC2_FTLL_34_12 rifoxyc2_full_scaffold_4796, whole genome shotgun sequence.
GCCCCCAUGGACUAGCGGUUAGGUCACCACCCUUUCAAGGUGGUAGCGCCAGUUCAACUCUGGCUGGGGGCA